AAGACUAUGCUUUCAGGGAUCAUUUCUAUAGUUUCUGAUUUGGAAGUUUGAUUUGAAAGUGUAACGUCUCUCUAACCACGAUGACGAGUUAAGAUGCUUUCUUCUGAGCGUGAAUCGGGUGGUGAGCGACGAGCGAGAUUGUCUGCUCUCUGUCAUUGAUGAACAUUCCUGCUGUGCUUUGCAGUCUGGAAGAAGAAAGCAUGUUCAGAGUGGUU
ensembl:snoRNA ACEA small nucleolar RNA U3